rnacentral:lncRNA from 1 species
ACCAUAGAAACACCUUUACCACAAGGAAGGUGUACUUUUGCAAGGGACUUGGGGGUAAACAUUCAGAUUCCCAUGGCAACUGUUGGGUCCAAAGGCUGAAUGAAAUACCAUGUGUCAGUGUCUUCUGGAGCAGCAUGCAGGAGAAAGAAUUAAAAAAAAAAAGCAGCCACCCAAUAUUUUCACCAUUGGAACUGGUGAUCACAGCUGAUAAUCGUUCAAGGCACCAUCUGAAGGUGGAAUACCAACAGGCAGUAUUUUGCAUUAAAAACUGUGUGUGAGUGGGCUAAUAAGGCAGUGGAAAAAUAAAGGAGAAAAGCAAUGGAUUAAAAUGGCCAUUCACCAUUAAAAUGGUGAAUAAUCUGAAACCCUCUCAGUUACACCUAUUGGGGUUUUAUGAUUUUUAAAGUUAGAAGAGGGUCUCAAAAUUUCCCAAACAUGCUUAAUACAAAAAGAGCUACAGGGAAACACCCCCCCCCCACAAAACAAACAGUUGUUUUUGCUCAUCAGAUUUUAUACUUCCUAAGACAAGAAAUUACUUUAUUUUCCUGCCACACAUUCAACCACCACCACCAUUCGCUGGGAACAGAUCUUACCUGGAGAAGACACUCCUGGCCUAAGAGCCAUAGUAUGCAAAGGAAAAAUGUGCACAUAAGGAUUCCAGAUGCAUAUGCUGUCAAUACAUACUAACUGUAUGGGCCCACUGUAACUGCUAAUAUGAAAUGUUUGAAUAGAAAUUUCUGUUUUAAAAAUCAAGGGUUUGGGGAACUGUGAGAGUGAAAUGAUUAAGUACAAUAUUUUCCUGCUGGAAUUCUGUAUAUUUAUUUUUGCAGACUUAGUUUAAGAAUUUGGGAAAUAAGAACAUGCUAGGGAAAAGAUCCAGAACUGGAAGGAAAAUGAGAGAAUGCUUCUUCCACUGAACCACCAAAUUUCAGAAAAAUAAGAUAUGGGUAUAAGUACAGGAACACUAGUGUAUUUCUCAGCCGAAUUUUGCAAUCUUGUCCAUUCUGGAGCACAAAUAAAGGUCAAGUUCUUUAAUGAAUGCCUAAGUCAAAAAAUAUGCAUAUUUUCUAAGGCUGACUAGGCUUAUUGUCUGGAAGGUAAUCCCUCAGUUUCUUGUCCUGCAGCCUAAGAUGUGAAUGUCUAGGAGUCUGAGAGAAAACUGCUUGUGGAUGCUGAAUUGGUAUCUGUUAAAACUCUGAUAGUAACUGAAUUAUUACCUUUCUGUAAACUGUCUAGGGACUUUGUUAAUCCCAUGAAUUCUAUUGGACCUGAUAAAACCACUGACCUUUUUUGUUCAGAUGUAGGCAAUUGUAAUAAAUAGAUGCCUAUUUUCUGAGGUCUUUGAAAUGAUCUUUAAUGAGAACUUGGAAAGCAACCAGCAUUAUAUGUGGUCACUGUCAAAGUAAUUUGAGUUCCUUGAGAGCAAAUACUUAGAAAUCCUUAGAAAAAAAGCUAGAGGGCUUUUUAAUUUGGUAUCUGAACUAAAACUAGGAAUAUUUCUCUAGCAUAGCCAAAUCUGGGCAGAGGAUAAAGGAAACCUGGAAAAAUUAUGAAAAAGCUGAAAAGUAUCUUCAGCUGAAAAAUUCUUUCACUGCACAUAGAUGUUAUUAUCAACAAGUUACUUACGCAUUUUCUAUCACAAUCCAGACACAUAUUGCAGACAGAAAAAAACCCAAAGAGGACAAAAAACCAUUGCAUGGAAUCAGUCUACACUAUGGCAAAAUUCAGGAAGGACUGGUGACUUGGAGAAACUACCACAGAAGGACCAGUUUCCUUUUAGGAUGAUGAAGAAUCAUGAAGCUUCAGGACAUAAAACCAGGGAGGCACAGAUUCUGUGAAGAAAACAUUCUUCCGGUCAGCUGGGAAGAGUCAAUACUGUGCAAAA